rnacentral:rRNA from 1 species
CCUACGGGUGGCAGCAGUGAGGAAUAUUGGUCAAUGGGCUUACGCCUGAACCAGCCACGUCGCGUGAGGGAAGACUGCCCUAUGGGUUGUAAACCUCUUUUGUCAGGGAGCAACGCCGGCUACGUGUAGCCUGACUGAGAGUACCUGCAGACAAAGCCUCGGCUAACUCCGUGCCAGCAGCCGCGGUAAUACGGAGGAUGCGAGCGUUCUCCGGAUUUAUUGGGUUUAAAGGGAGCGUAGGUGGAUUGUUAAGUCAGUUGUGAAAGUUUGCGGCGCAACCGUAAAAUUGCAGUUGAAACUGGCAGUCUUGAGUACAGUAGAGGUGGGCGGAAUUCGUGGUGUAGCGGUGAAAUGCUUAGAUAUCACGAAGAACUCCGAUUGCGAAGGCAGCUCACUGGAUUGCAACUGACACUGAGGCUCGAAAGUGUGGGUAUCAAACAGGAUUAGAUACCCCAGUAGUC